rnacentral:lncRNA from 1 species
GAGAGGUGAGGGAUAAACCACAAUAGGAAUUCCUUUCUCGAGAUCAUAGAGAUGAUCCAAGUAUGUUCCUUUGGAAUAAGCAAGCAUAAGGCAAAAGCUAAUAAACAAAGUCUCAAAGGAGAACCUCAAAUGAAAAGCAAACAAGCUGCCAAUAGAUGUACUUACACCCAACUCCUGAAAAGCAGAACAAAAACAGAAUGCCA